rnacentral:rRNA from 1 species
UACGUAGGGGCCGAGCGUUGUCCGGAGUUAUUGGGCGUAAAGCGCGCGCAGGCGGCCUCGCGCGCCCGACGUGAAAGCCCCCGGCUUAACCGGGGAGGGUCGUUGGGGACGGCGGGGCUUGAGGGCGGGAGAGGUCGGUGGAAUUCCCGGUGUAGUGGUGAAAUGCGUAGAGAUCGGGAGGAACACCCGUGGCGAAGGCGGCCAUCUGGACCAGUACUGACGCUGAGGCACGAAAGCGUGGGGAGCAAACAGG